GACGUCGUGCCCGAGUGGUUAAGGGGUUUGACUCGAAUAAUCAUUUGAUUAUGGGCAUCAAAUACGUUCUGCGUGCGCAAGUUCGAAUCUUGUCGACGUCG